rnacentral:rRNA from 1 species
GCAGAUCGAGCGGAGGAUGGGUAGCUUGCUCCCUGAUGUUAGCGGCGGACGGGUGAGUAACACGUGGGUAACCUGCCUGUAAGACUGGGAUAACUCCGGGAAACCGGGGCUAAUACCGGAUGGUUGUUUGAACCGCAUGGUUCAGACAUAAAAGGUGGCUUCGGCUACCACUUACAGAUGGACCCGCGGCGCAUUAGCUAGUUGGUGAGGUAACGGCUCACCAAGGCGACGAUGCGUAGCCGACCUGAGAGGGUGAUCGGCCACACUGGGACUGAGACACGGCCCAGACUCCUACGGGAGGCAGCAGUAGGGAAUCUUCCGCAAUGGACGAAAGUCUGACGGAGCAACGCCGCGUGAGUGAUGAAGGUUUUCGGAUCGUAAAGCUCUGUUGUUAGGGAAGAACAAGUGCCGUUCAAAUAGGGCGGCACCUUGACGGUACCUAACCAGAAAGCCACGGCUAACUACGUGCCAACAGCCGCGGUAAUACGUAGGUGGCAAAGCGUUUGUCCGGGAAUUAAUUGGGGCGUAAAAGGGCUCGGCAGGCCGUUUCCUUAAGUCUGAUGUGAAAACCCCCCGGCUCAACCCGGGGGAGGGUUAUUGGAAACUGGGGGAAAUUUGGGUGC